rnacentral:rRNA from 1 species
CAAGUCGAACGCCCCGCAAGGGGAGUGGCGCACGGGUGAGUAAUGCAUGGGAAUGUACCCUUCGGUACGGAAUAGCCUCGGGAAACUGGGAUUAAUACCGUAUAACGUCUACGGACCAAAGAUUUAUCGCCGAGGGAUCAGCCCAUGUAGGAUUAGCUAGUUGGUGGGGUAAUGGCCUACCAAGGCGACGAUCCUUAGCUGGUCUGAGAGGAUGAUCAGCCACACUGGAACUGAGACACGGUCCAGACUCCUACGGGAGGCAGCAGUAAGGAAUAUUGGACAAUGGGGGAAACCCUGAUCCAGCCAUGCCGCGUGAAUGAAGAAGGCCUUAGGGUUGUAAAGUUCUUUUAGGGAUGACGAUAAUGACGGUAGUCCCAGAAAAAGCUCCGGCUAACUCCGUGCCAGCAGCCGCGGUAAUACGGAGGGAGCGAGCGUUGUUCGGAAUUACUGGGCGUAAAGCGUGCGCAGGCGGAUUUCCAAGUCAGGAGUGAAAUCCCAGGGCUCAACCCUGGAAUUGCUCUUGAAACUGGAUGUCUGGAGUCUCGGAGAGGUUGGCGGAAUUCCCAGUGUAGAGGUGAAAUUCGUAGAUAUUGGGAGGAACACCAGUGGCGUAAGCGGCCAACUGGACGAGAACUGACGCUCAUGCACGAAAGUGUGGGGAUCAAACAGGAUUAGAUACCCUGGUAGUCCACACCGUAAACGAUGUUCACUAGUUGGUGGGGAGCUUGCUCUUCGCUGACGCAGCUAACGCAUUAAGUGAACCGCCUGGGGAGUACGGUCGCAAGAUUAAAACUCAAAGGAAUUGACGGGGACCCGCACAAGCGGUGGA